CCUACGGGAGGCAGCAGUAGGGAAUCUUCCACAAUGGGCGAAAGCCUGAUGGAGCAACGCCGCGUGCAGGACGAAGGCCUUCGGGUUGUAAACUGCUUUUCUGGGGGACGAUUAUGACGGUACUCCAGGAAUAAGGAUCGGCUAACUCCGUGCCAGCAGCCGCGGUCACACGGAGGAUCCAAGCGUUAUCCGGAAUUACUGGGCGUAAAGAGUUGCGUAGGUGGCAUAGUAAGCAGGUAGUGAAAUCGUGUGGCUCAACCAUACUCACAUUAUCUGAACUGCUAAGCUAGAGUAUGAGAGAGGUAGCUGGAAUUCCUAGUGUAGGAGUGAAAUCCGUAGAUAUUAGGAGGAACACCGAUGGCGUAGGCAGGCUACUGGCUCAUUACUGACACUAAGGCACGAAAGCGUGGGGAGCGAACGGGAUUAGAUACCCUUGUAGU
rnacentral:rRNA from 1 species